rnacentral:rRNA from 1 species
CCUACGGGAGGCAGCAGUAAGGAAUAUUGGUCAAUGGGGGAGACCCUGAACCAGCCAAGCCGCGUGAGGGACGACGGCCCUAUGAGUUGUAAACCUCUUUUGUCGGAGAGCAAAACCCGGUACGUGUCCCAUACUGAGUGUCUCCGAACAAAAAGCAUGCGCUAACUCCGUGCCAGACGCCGGGGUAAGACGGAGGCUGCGAGCGUUAUCCGGAAAUAUUGGGUUUAUGGGGUGCGUAGGCGGUUCGUUAAGUCAGCGGUAAAAUUGGGGGGCUCAACCCCGUAGGGCAAUUGAAACUGGCAAACUAGAGUAGGCGAGAGGUACGCGGAAUGAGCGGUGUAGCGGUGAAAUGCGUAGAUAUAGGGCAGAACACCGAUUGCGAAGGCAGCGUACCGGCGCCAGACUGACGCUGAGGCACGAAAGCGUGGGGAGCGAACAGGAUUAGAUACCCGGGUAGUC